CGCCCCACGGGAAGUAUUACCGUGGGGCAGCAAGGUAGCGGUAGCA
rnacentral:ncRNA from 1 species